rnacentral:lncRNA from 1 species
GGUGGGGCUUCACCACGUUGGCCAGGCUGGUCUUGAACUCCUGAGCUCAAGUGAUCUGCCUGCCUUGGCCUCCCAAAGUGCUGGGACUAUGGGCUUGAGCUACUGUGCCCAGCCGUGCCUGCCUCUUUAGACACAUCAAAAUCCGCCUCUGUGAUUUUUGCUUAUGGCCAUAUAGAGGCAAUUUGAGGUUCACCAACCACAAGGGAAGUAGCUCCCUGCCUUCAUGAGGCUCUGAUACACUAUAAACCUUCCAUUCAGAACCUGUGAUGGAGUCGAGUGUGUAGCCCUAGCUACUUGGGAGGUCAAGGGAAGAGGAUCACUUGAGCCCAGGAGUUUGAGACCAGCUUGAGCAAUGCGAACUGGAAAUAUCGACAAACAGCACUGAAGGCUCCUGGUCUACCACAGGAGGUGAUCUCUAGUGAAGAAGGUUGAGAUUUGCAUGCAGAAUUUCCAGAAUGCUGAAUAUCAGCACGGAUCACUGCAAAGAAGUUGGAACUCAUCUCACAUGAACUUCUCAGGUUCUCUUACAAGACCACCAACAUUCUUCAAACAUCAGUGAAAUAAAACAGGAGGAGGGUUUCGAGCUCUGGAUCCUCAGCCUGGAAAUGUCACAAUUUAAUCCCAAAGGUUUGCUGUGAAGUUGUAAGCAUGACAGUGUGAAACUCGACAGAUUAUUCUUGAAUUCUUUGUUUGUUUUCGUUGUGACCCGACUCUCAUAAAAUUUAUGUUUUCUU